CAAACGUCAAAUGCUUACUCGGUGCUGUUCAGCAUUCUGUCCAUCUCUCUAGUCAAUGUGCCACGGAAAGGAUCGUGGACUUUGCUGGAAGCUGUAUGGGGGAACCCUGCCUCAAGGUAACCAAACCAGGGGAACGAGAUGCACAUGCCGGGAGGGACCUUGCCCCGGGAAGGCGGAAAGGCGGAGGCAGCCUAAGAUUUGGGGCCAGAUGAGCCCACUUCCUAUGUGAUGGCUGUAAAUCAAUGAACUCCUCUGAGUUUCUCAAUUACUUCAUGUAUAAAAUUGAAAGAGUACAAAGCUGACAGAUGAUGUUACUGUGGGAUUGAAGGAGGGCCAAAGAUGUCUCCUCAAUUCUGGAGAGUAAGCAGUGAUGGAUAGGGAGACCGUCUGCCAAAGUUCUUGAACAUCACCUAUUAAGGCAGCCAAACGAGAAGCAGAGGUCUACUACUUCUUGAAAUCCAGACUCCUCACCGAGAGGUCAGAACCCGCACUCUUGGCUGCAGUCUGACUUCUCUGAUGCCUUUGCCUUGUUCUGAUUGGAGGAAGUUGCCCAGACAGCGGUGCUGGAGGUUCAUUAGCACGUACCAGAGGGUUCCUCACCUGCUGGGUAACCGACCAGGGCAAGCGAAGACCCAAGACCCAAGACCCAUGCACUGAGUGACAGGCCACAAGCAGGGCUGUGCUUGGGGCUCCCCACCACUGGAAGCCCAGCCGUGCACUCACACAUCUGCCCCUCUGCACAGCAACGUGAUAUUAUUUAUUGGUUCACAUCAUCUAGG
rnacentral:lncRNA from 1 species